GAUGAACGCUGGCGGCGUGCCUAAUACAUGCAAGUCGAGCGAACGGACGAGAAGCUUGCUUCUCUGAUGUUAGCGGCGGACGGGUGAGUAACACGUGGAUAACCUACCUAUAAGACUGGGAUAACUUCGGGAAACCGGAGCUAAUACCGGAUGAUAUUUUGAACCGCAUGGUUCAAAAGUGAAAGACGGUCUUGCUGUCACUUAUAGAUGGAUCCGCGCUGCAUUAGCUAGUUGGUAAGGUAACGGCUUACCAAGGCAACGAUGCAUAGCCGACCUGAGAGGGUGAUCGGCCACACUGGAACUGAGACACGGUCCAGACUCCUACGAGAGGCAGCAGUAGGGAAUCUUCCGCAGUGGGCGAAAGCCUGACGGAGCAACGCCGCGUGAGUGAUGAAGGUCUUCGGAUCGUAAAACUCUGUUAUUAGGGAAGAACAUAUGUGUAAGUAACUGUGCACAUCUUGACGGUACCUAAUCAGAAAGCCACGGCUAACUACGUG
rnacentral:rRNA from 1 species